GGGGACGUAGCUCAGCUGGUAGAGCGCUGCGUUCGCAACGCAGAGGUCGUGGGUUCGAGUCCCAUCGUCUCCACCA
rnacentral:tRNA from 2 species